CAGCCGCCGCGGGAAUACGUAGGUGGCAAGCGUUGUCCGGAAUUAUUGGGCGUAAAGGGCUCGCAGGCGGUUUCUUAAGUCUGAUGUGAAAGCCCCCGGCUCAACCGGGGAGGGUCAUUGGAAACUGGGAAACUUGAGUGCAGAAGAGGAGAGUGGAAUUCCACGUGUAGCGGUGAAGUGCGUAGAGAUGUGGAGGAACACCAGUGGCGAAGGCGACUCUCUGGUCUGUAACUGACGCUGAGGAGCGAAAGCGUGGGGAGCGAACAGGAUUAGAUACCCGGGUAGUCCCUGUCUCUAUACA
rnacentral:rRNA from 1 species